UAAUCAGGCAGCCGAGCGGUCCCUUCAAACCGAGUCAGGCAAGCUCUACGUCGUGGGGGCCGCAUGGUGCCGAGAGCGCAGCCCCGCCCCGCCCCUCCGCGCUUAAUGGUUAGUUGGGUAACAGCCAGUGGUGGUAACGCCACGCCACGCACGCGCUCGGCUCCGCGCUUAAUGAAUAUCAGGUCUCUGAGCCCAAGCUAAGCCAUCAUAUCCCCUGUGACCUGCAUGUAUGCAUCCAGAUGGCCUGAAGAAACUGAAGAAUCACAAAAGUGAAAAUGGCCUGUUCCUGCCUUAACUGAUGACAUUACCUUGUGAAAUUCCUUCUCCUGGCUCAUCCUGGCUCAAAAGCUCCCCCACUGAGCACCUUGUGACCCCCACUUCUGCCUACCAGAGAACAAUCCCCUUUGACUGUAAUUUCCCACUACCUUCCCAAAUCCUAUAAAAUGGCCCCACCCCAUCUCCCUUCACUGACUCUUUUAAGACUCAGCCCGCCUGCACCCAGGUGAAAUAAACAGCCUUGUUGCUCACACAAAA
rnacentral:lncRNA from 1 species